UUAAACUUUUUAACAACUCAAAUAUUCCACUACACUUAAAUUGACUAGAAAUAAAAAGCUGGAGGAGAACCGCGGGCUACCACCAAAAUUUAAGGACGCAGGAUGGCACCAAGGCACGUUAAAAGCCAUCGCCUGCCACGACUCUCGCUCUGCGGCCCUCUAUAUGAAGACGGUAGCUGACCGAAAUGUGGUCUAUGCAGGAGGGGCAAAACUUGGGUCUUGGCGAAGCUUGCAGAGCCGCAGAAGAUCCUGAGGUUACUGCAGGGCUGAGAGGCCAGUUCAUCAUCGUCCUGAAUGAGGAGUCCUAGUGGAUUAUGACUACAAGAAGGUGAUCAUAUCAUAUCCGGAGCUGCCAAAGAUUCCGAUGGGUGAGGACCCGAGUGUGGAGGCCAACCCGGGAGCGUCGAACAUAGCACCUGUGGUGGCGGACAACAUCCUGGACGACUACGAGUCCGACGAGAGCGACCUAGCCUAGACCUAGGAGUCACAGACUUAUCAGUGUCGGCGAGGAGUUAGAGUGCCCCGAUAGCGACCCAGAGAAAACAAUAGUGGAGUUCAACCGCUGGAAUGUCACUGACCACAGAGGAAAUUCAAGAAUUUCAGGUCUGG
rnacentral:sRNA from 1 species